rfam:Candidatus Yanofskybacteria bacterium RIFCSPHIGHO2_01_FTLL_41_21 rifcsphigho2_01_scaffold_1627, whole genome shotgun sequence.
GGAAGCGUGGCUGAGCGGUUGAAAGCACCUGAUUCGAAAUCAGGCAUAGGGGCAACCUUAUCGGAGGUUCGAAUCCUCCCGCUUCCG